AGGCGCAAAAAUGCGGCGGAAAUAAACAUGUUUUUUUUUUAGAUCUCAACCCUCCCCUAAUACCUCUAGCCAAUGUAGAAAUAUAAAAACAGCAAAACGCACAGUAAAAGUCAGUUUUAAGGUGGUACCUAACACUACAGGGAGAUAACUCUGUAAAGUUAGCUAAACGUUUUAAUUACGUUGUGUUGGAAAAGUAAUAUUAAGCUUCUCAAUGAUCAAAAUUGGUGUUUGUCAAACUGCUAUAUAACCAGUGUAAUUUUUCUGACAAAAUGGUUGGUUCAAAAUUUUUGAAAAUUUUAUAUUUUUGUUAAAGGGUCAAAGUUAAAUAAUUUGACAAAAUUUUAUGAAAAUUAAACGAGCCAAAUUAAUUUUAGUGAAAGUGUUGGGUACCACCUUAAAGAAGUCUGAGUCUGAUGCCAGAAUAGGUAACAAAAGAAACUAAGCAAAAUUAUAAUGAUACAUAAAUUAACUAAAGACUACUAGCAGUAACUGACAUGCCAGCUCUAGACCUAAAUUAAACUGAUUGAAAAGUUCUUCAUCAUAUUGAAGACUUCUGAGUUUUGGUGGCCUGCGUAUAUUGUUUUUUUCCACAUUGGCUAAAAGUAUAGGGGGAGGGUUGAAAUCUCAAUAAACAUGUUUAACCCUGCUGCAUUUUUGCACCUGUCCCAAGUCAGGAGCCUCUGGCCUUUGUUAGUCUUGUAUAAAUUUUAGUUUCUUGUGUAUAAUUCGGAGAUUAGUAUGAUGUCCAUUAUCACUGAACUAGUAAAAUAAUAUUUGUUUAGGGUCCAGCUGAAGGACGUUAAGAUUCGGGACUUUAUUGCGGCAUUGAUUAGAAGAACCAUUGGUGGCAUUCGGCUGUUGUCUGCUCUAUGGUCGGGUAGUUGCUUCUUUGACACAUUCCCCAUUUCAAAUUCUAUUCUCAAUUUUAUUCUGUUUUCCAUUUAUUGGUAAUUAAUUGUUACUUGGCUGCUGUCUCACUGAUGGCAUGCAUACCCACAUUAACUUUUAUUCAUAAAGUUUCAAUAAGAUAGUCCAAAUUUUUUUGACAUUUGUUUGCAAUACAAUAUAUAUAUAUAUAUAUACAAGAUUGGACCAUUUUUUCUGAAAGUUUAACAUACUUAAAAUAUUGGAAAGACACAAGAAAAUAAAUGCUAAUAUUGUUUGGUUACACAUUUUAUUAUUGCAAAGCUGACAGCUGUUAAUAAACAUUAUGGUUUGCAGCAUAGAGAAAAAGUAAAAUUUAGCACCGCUGUUGAACAAAGAUGUUGAACAAGUACUGAUAUGUAAAAUUUACGGUUUUAAAUGUUUACCCCAUAUAAAUAAGAACAACUAGCUUAAAAACAACUUACAAUCACAACCUUCAAGCAUUUAUUUGAAAAUGUACAAGAAGAAGAAAUCCCUGAAGUGUCAAGUGAACCACUUAAAAAAUGCAUAGUGAAAAACAAGUAUUUAAAAUUCAGUAAUAUUUUUAUUAUUGCUCAAAAUUGCUAUGGGAUAGGUUUCUCAAAACUAAAAUAAGUUUGGUCACACUUAUUUUUUAUAAAUUUUCCUGAAAUAAGAAUAAUAAAUCUUGCAUCUUUUUAACAUGGUUCAACAUUUAUAAUAGCAAUAAUAAAUGCAAGCAUAAACAGGGGUCGAAAUUAACGCUGGUCCAGUACCAGUAGAAUUUGCAUCGGACCAGUAGAUUUUAUCAGCUGGUGGUCCGGAGGACCAGUCGAAAUUUUAGUGUCGAUAAAAAUAACUGAUUGCAUGGCCUACAAAAAAAUGUCCUGCAAAAUCAAUUACACAGAAAUUGGGGUACUAAGUUUUACAAUUAUCAAGUUUAUCAAUAUCUUGGGUGAGCGUCCUUCACAACAAGACAAAAUGUGGAAAUUUUUGGAAAAAAGUAUACCACCGGACACAAAAAAUAGUGACAUUCAGUAGAAGAUCAGAAAUUGACAAAAUAAGAAACGUAAAUAUAAAAAAAUCCGGUGAAAAAGAUCGCAUAUGGAUAAAUGAUAGAGUCGAUCGCAAUGUAAUGAAUUGUAUACGUGAAAAAUUGGCAGUGACAGACCUAGAUUUAAAUUUAAAAUUUAAAAUUUAAAGUUACAUUCUGUAAAGCACUGGACUUGCUUGUCUGUAUAUUCAAAUGUAGAAGAAAGCAUGAAAAUAAAAGUAAACAUCUAUCAUUGAUAUAAUUUAGUGUUUAUCAAAUGAAUGUCAGUUUUACAGGACCAGUAGAUUUGGAGCUGGACCAGUAUAUUUUCAGUCCACUGGUCUGGCUGGCCAGUACAAAAAAAAUGCUUAAAUUCGACCCCUGAGCACAAAUCUAUGAAUUUCUAGUCUACUAGUAAAUUGAAAAAAAAGUUUUUCAGAAUUGGAUUUAGGGAGGAGGCCCUUAUGGAGCUACAUAUAUUGUUAAUGCAUGGACUUUUACAUGUUCUACUCCAACAUUGGCUAGUUGGAGGGUCCCCUUUUUCAAAAUCCUGAAUCCUCAUCUGCAUUUUUAAGGGUUAAAAACUGCCAGCAGUAAUAUCUAGUAAAGACCCUUAUCUAGUAUUCCUUUGUGCUUUUUGAAAAGAUUUCUUAUAGAAUUAGUUUCACUAGAAUAUACUUGGUAUAAAAAGGAAAAGCCAUCCAGAAUUUGUUUAAAUUUGUUUACAACAUUGAAGAUUUAUGAAAUUUUACAAUGUCUGCCUUGCAUAGAGAACAAUUGGGGCUUUUUUUUAAAUGAAUGCAUGAUUAAUUCUGGUUUAGACUCCUGUAAUGGAAUGUCAUGAAAACUAAAAAUACAUCUUGACAAUAUUGCGUACAUAUCUCAUUUAAAUAUACCAUUUAAAAAUACAACCAAUACCAUAAAAAACAAGCUAGCAAAAUUUAUGUACAUAUGUAAAGUUUUACAAUUUGUAGACAUAAAACUAAAAUAAAAAUUCAUAAGAUCAUUUUGAUUUUAACAAUUUGAAUUGAUAUCCUGAGUUUCACAUCUGUAUAAAAUCAACUAUUUUGCUCUUGGUAAUCACUGUGUUCUUGGUCUUUUCAUUUUCAUGCAUUUAUCAUAAUGCUUCUGCUUAUAUAUGUAUAAAAUUAUUUCAUGGUACUUAUAUUUAACUUCAACAUGGAACAUUUCAAUAAUUUACCAUUUCUUUACAUUAAUAGCAAAAUUUCAUGGAAAUUGUAAAAUAGUACAAAACUGUGUAAUAAAAUUUGACUUAAACAAAAUCAGGAUACCAAUUCAAUUUAAGAUAUGCAAAUGAACAUAAAACAGAUUCUAACAUAAAUAAAAAAUAUUUUUAAAAGUUUUUAUUUACACAAAUUUAUAAAAAAGACACUAAUUGUUG
rnacentral:lncRNA from 1 species